AUUGAACGCUGGCGGCAUGCCUUACACAUGCAAGUCGAACGGCAGCACGGGUGCUUGCACCUGGUGGCGAGUGGCGAACGGGUGAGUAAUACAUCGGAACAUGUCCUGUAGUGGGGGAUAGCCCGGCGAAAGCCGGAUUAAUACCGCAUACGAUCUACGGAUGAAAGCGGGGGACCUUCGGGCCUCGCGCUAUAGGGUUGGCCGAUGGCUGAUUAGCUAGUUGGGGGGGUAAAGGCCUACCAAGGCGACGAUCAGUAGCUGGUCUGAGAGGACGACCAGCCACACUGGGACGACGACACGGCCCAGACUCCUACGGGAGGCAGCAGUGGGGAAUUUUGGACAAGGGGCGAAAGCCUGAUACAGCAAUGACGCGUGUGUGAAGAAGGCCUUCGGGUUGUAAAGCACUUUUGUCCGGAAAGAAAUCCUUGGCCCUAAUACGGUCGGGGGAUGACGGUACCGGAAGAAUAAGCACCGGCUAACUACG
rnacentral:rRNA from 1 species